ACAGCUCAGUCAGUAGAGUGUGAGAUUCUUAAUCUCUCAGGGCUGUGGGUUUGAGCCCCACGUUGGGCA